UGACAACUUGUGCCAAGCAGUGCGAAUACAUCUUGUUGACGGCUUGUUGGCAGACUUGUUACAAGAUGUGAGAUUUUUACGUGUGUAGAAGAGUACUGAUUAGUCUAACCUUUUGUAUACAUAUUUAUAUAUCUUAUCUCGUAUAUUACGAUUUUGUAAUUAUAACCAGGCUAUGCUUAGAUGGAUACCAGGGGCUCUGGUAUCCACAUAGUAUAUUCUGGUUCAUAUAUAUAUACAUUAAUUAAUUCAUUAAUUUACUAAUUAACAUUUGAUUUGAGUUAAGAAAACUAUCUUUGUUGGAAAUAAAUACUUUAUAAAUACAAAAUACAAAA